AGGACAACUACCUCUCCAGCUGAAUGGUGGAGUCUAUUUGGAAAUUCCACCCCGAACUUACAGAAAUUUGCUAUCAAAGUACUUAGUUUGACAUGUAGUGCUUCGGGUUGUGAGCGAAACUGGAGUGUCUUUGAGCAUAUUCACUCGAAGAGAAGAAAUCGGUUAGAACAUCAACGAUUGCACGAUCUUGUUUACAUAAAGUAUAAUCAAGCUUUGAAGACUCGUCAUGAUUUGAAAAAUAGAUUUGAUUCAAUCUCAUUGCAAGAUAUUGAUGAUUCAAAUGAGUGGUUAGUAGGAGAAAUGGGUGCUAACUUGCAAGAUGCUGAAGACGAGCUUGUAUUUGAAGAUGAUAGAUUGACGUGGGGAGAUGUGGCAAGAGCUUCAGGUGUUGGAGAAUUACAAACAUAUACAAGACAGAUGUCAAAGAGAAAAAUGAGUGCAAAAGCAUCAAGCUCGGCUCCUGCUAUUGUUGAAGACACAAAGAAUGAAACAUAUCUUGACGAAGAGGACGGAAUCGAAGAACAAGAGG